GAGGCAGUGUGAUGAGUUUGAUUCUCAUAUUAUGCGAGAGACAUUGGUAGACCCUGAUGAGUUAAUUAAUGGUUUAAAUUGCGUCAUCAUUCAAGUAUGCAUUACGUUAUUUUACAUAUUCAUUUUUAUCCCAACUAAUUGAUGAGUAGCAGCCGCCAGCCAGGGAUGAACAUGUAAUUUGAACGCAAAGACAUUUCCUACCAAACUGAGGUCCUGAGGAGAACAGAACAGAACAGUGUCAGAGUAAUUCGUAGAAAUUAGAGUUCGCCAAACAACCUUAAUUGGACAAUAUCUAAAAUUAAUGAUGUUUUAG
rnacentral:lncRNA from 1 species